UAUGGCUUGCUGAGAGAGGCUUUUCACAGAGGACUUGCUGCUCACACUCCAAGAAACUUGAUAACUGCUCAUGAGAGCUGUUUAUGAUGCUUUAGAUGUCAGGGUUUGAGCUUCUCUGUAUAUUUAAAAGAAAAUAAUACCUGUCAAGUAUGAGAGAUUCCUAUUUGGAAUUGUCUUUUGAGACAGAGCGAGUGAGAAGUGUGUCUCUAUAUAUGGCUAGAUUGUGUGGGGUUUGAUUCUGUAGCUUUCAGAAUUGUCACUUUGAACUCAGAAGUCAGGCUGGCUGUUUCUGGAUGAUAGUUAAAAAACGGGCCAAUCCUUGUCUUUACAGACUUUUGUGUGCUCAAGGGGAAGAAUCAAAAGUAUUUAGGGUUUUUUUUCCCCCAUUUAUUUUUACGAGGCUAUUCAGUUGUGAACUGUAGAUGGAGGCUUCUCUGACCAACAGGUAUUUCAUGGAAUGCUGCCAUCGAGUUACUCUGAUUCCAGAAACCACACCAUACCAUGGCAGAACUAUUAUGUAGGCUUAAAUAGUAUUCACAGUUUUCCAUUAAAAUAGGUGAAAUAAGGAAUUUCAAUUCUGAAAGAGUUGUGAAAAAUAAUUUGUCAUUCAUUACUAAAAUGCUAGAGUUGUGAAACCCUGAGUCAGUAAAAGCUUUUCAGCUUUUAAAAUGUUAAUUUUAUGGCUUAUUCAGUAAAUGGAAUGUAUUUUGCCCCCUCAGUGCAUCUUUUAAAUAAGAUGUCUGUUACAAGUUAGUGGUGUUUACAAGCUCUUGUCUGAUGUGGUGUUGUGGUAGUUUCAGUGCAUUGUGUAAAUAUGCAGCUAAUACGACAAGUAUAGAACAUUAUGAUCCAUAACAGAUCCACUGCAUAAAUGGGAAUCCUCUCUUAAAGAGAGACAGAGAAGUUGCUUAGAAUGUUCUUUUUGUAUAGACGUCUCUCUGAAUCUUUAUUCCAUCAAUGUGUGUAUCUAUUUCUUUAUUUGUACUUUCUUAUUCCAUCAAUGUGUGUAUCUAUUUCUUUAUUUGUACUUUCAGGGUUGUGGUGUGUGUCUGUGGUGUUUUAGGGGUUUCUUAGCACAGUGUCUCCCAAAUGAGCUUCAGAGACCGGAGUUAACUUCCCUAUUAUUUCUUUAUUUGUGAUGACAGGAUCAGUUAAAGCUUCAUCUCUUCUCAAGAACCUGCUUGCCUCUUCUUAGUGACAGAACCAGCCCCUGAGAGCACUCUGACCUGCAGCCAGUUGCUGUUAACGAGCUGAGAAGUGGGCAGGUGAGUCCAAAGUGUAGUGAUUUGAUGUACCUUUUGCUGACCCUGCGUCGUCCUUCCAGGGUUUGCCAGCUGCACACGGAAUUGGGUCAGGGAGCUGAUCAUGGUCAAUUAUCACCCUUUGGCUGGGAUAUCUUUCUUGGGUUAAGCGUCUUCUCACAGCAGAAUACUUAAAAAGACAAAGCAAUAACAAAGAGUUUGAAAAAAAAGUGUGAUGGGACAGGAGGCAGAAACAAAAUUUGAAGCUGGAGCUCGUGGCCUCGAUCGAUGAAGAGUUGAAGCAGACACAUCCUGGACACACAAAAGGACAGCUGAAGAGAAUCUGAACAAGCAAUGAACAACAGUGGAUUAGACACAGCCACGGAAGACGACAUUUCAGGGCAUGUGGAGAAGGAAAAUUAAUCACUUAGCCAUCAAAAAAAAAAAUGAACAGUACUUCAGUCAGAUGCACAAGGGCAGCAUAAAGCGAACUGAAAGGAUAUUGGCUUUGGAGAACAAUCUCUUCAGAAACUCUCUGAAAUGUCACCUACCUUGCCUAUUCUACCCAGUUUCAUCAUGAACACAGACAUCUCAAAGGCUGUCCAAGGUUCAAGGAAGAUUAAUUUAAAGCCAGACCUCUUAGAGCCGCUUCUAAUUCAAGAACAACCUAAUAUGUGCAGAAUUGGGACUCUAGAAGCACUUUCUGUUAUUUGAAUGGCAUAAUACCUUUUUUAGAGGUGGAAGGCUUGCAUCAAAUUUGGCUAUGAAGUGCCAAUGAUGGUGUUUGGUACCACUGACAUCCCAGGAUGAUUUACAUGUGGCCUUCUGUGCUUGUUCCAGGGGCAACAUACAUGCAGGCUCAGUACCUGGUUUGUCUUCUGCUUUCACAGGGAUCAAUAAAGGCAACUGUAUGUGAAAAACAAGUUAUAGCACGUAACUCUCAGAAUUACAG